rnacentral:tmRNA from 1 species
GGGGGUGACCGGCUUUGACGGCCCUGUACUUUGAGAGACGUGCGACGCGGUGGAAGGAUGCUGACCACCUUAAAACGUAUUCACUCAAACUUGCCAAGAACACUCUUGCAAGCGCAAUAUCGCCUUACUUCGGUAAGUCCGACUUUGCGUUCGCUUACGUCAAGACGGCUUAACGCCUCUUCGCCUAAGCGACGUUCAUAUCUCUAGGAUCUCGUAGCUAGUGGUAUGGGCGGAAUUCUCUACGAGAUCGGUAUCAAGAGCCUCCCUACUCUUGGCUUAAAAGAUGGGAUUAGGCAGAGGCGUUUUUGCUAGCGUUCUUAUUCCUCUGCUGAAACGAAAACGUUAGCUAUGCGUCGUAGACUCGCUCUUAAAGCAGGGUUCGGACCGGAGUUCGACUCUCCGCACCUCCACCG